UUUGAAACUAAAAAUAUAGGUAAAAGCCAGUUUUGGAGUCAGAUUGGCCAGUGAGCAUCUGAGUGUCACCUAAGAGCUCCAUUAAUGCAGAAUUCUUGCUAACAUGACCAAACCUUACCUUUCCGGCUUGAGUUUGGAAGCAGUCACUGCCACCACU
rnacentral:snoRNA from 1 species